GCCAGCAUGGCAUAGUGGCUUGAGUGUUGGACUACUACUCUGGAGCUCCGGGUUCAAUUCCUUGCUUGGCC